UCAGGAUGAACGCUAGCUACAGGCUUAACACAUGCAAGUCGAGGGGCAGCAUGUCGGUUGCUUGCAACCCGAUGAUGGCGACCGGCGCACGGGUGAGUAACGCGUAUCCAACCUACCCUUGUCCAUCGGAUAACCCGUCGAAAGGCGGCCUAACACGAUAUGCGGUUCACAGCAGGCAUCUAACGUGAACGAAAUGUGAAGGAGAAGGAUGGGGAUGCGUCUGAUUAGCUUGUUGGCGGGGUAACGGCCCACCAAGGCAACGAUCAGUAGGGGUUCUGAGAGGAAGGUCCCCCACACUGGUACUGAGACACGGACCAGACUCCUACGGGAGGCAGCAGUGAGGAAUAUUGGUCAAUGGGCGGAAGCCUGAACCAGCCAAGUAGCGUGCAGGACGACGGCCCUAUGGGUUGUAAACUGCUUUUAUGCGGGGAUAAAGUGGGCCACGCGUGGCCUUUUGCAGGUACCGCAUGAAUAAGGACCGGCUAAUUCCGUG
rnacentral:rRNA from 1 species